rnacentral:rRNA from 1 species
UCAUUAACUGAAUCCAUAGGUUAAUGAGGCGAACCGGGGGAACUGAAACAUCUAAGUACCCCGAGGAAAAGAAAUCAACCGAGAUUCCCCCAGUAGCGGCGAGCGAACGGGGAGGAGCCCAGAGCCUGAAUCAGCAUGUGUGUUAGUGGAAGCGUCUGGAAAGGCGCGCGAUACAGGGUGACAGCCCCGUACACAAAAGCGCAUGUGCUGUGAGCUCGAUGAGUAGGGCGGGACACGUGGUAUCCUGUCUGAAUAUGGGGGGACCAUCCUCCAAGGCUAAAUACUCCUGACUGACCGAUAGUGAACCAGUACCGUGAGGGAAAGGCGAAAAGAACCCCGGCGAGGGGAGUGAAAAAGAACCUGAAACCGUGUACGUACAAGCAGUGGGAGCCCCACCACUAAGCCAGUGGUGAACUCCACAUCCGCAUCCUUUGCUGAGGAUACGGUUAACGGAGCGAAAGCGACGUUCAACCGCAAAACAAGCAGAGGGGGCUUAGUGGUGGGGUGACUGCGUACCUUUUGUAUAAUGGGUCAGCGACUUAUAUUCUGUAGCAAGGUUAACCGAAUAGGGGAGCCGGAGGGAAACCGAGUCUUAAUUGGGCGUUAAGUUGCAGGGUAUAGACCCGAAACCCGGUGAUCUAGCCAUGGGCAGGUUGAAGGUUGGGUAACACUAACUGGAGGACCGAACCGACUAAUGUUGAAAAAUUAGCGGAUGACCUGUGGCUGGGGGUGAAAGGCCAAUCAAACCGGGAGAUAGCUGGUUCUCCCCGAAAGCUAUUUAGGUAGCGCCUCGUGAAUUCAUCUCCGGGGGUAGAGCACUGUUUCGGCUAGGGGGCCAUCCCGGCUUACCAACCCGAUGCAAACUGCGAAUACCGGAGAAUGUUAUCACGGGAGACACACGGCGGGUGCUAACGUCCGUCGUGAAGAGGGAAACAACCCAGACCGCCAGCUAAGGUCCCAAAGUCAUGGUUAAGUGGGAAACGAUGUGGGAAGGCCCAGACAGCCAGGAUGUUGGCUUAGAAGCAGCCAUCAUUUAAAGAAAGCGUAAUAGCUCACUGGUCGAGUCGGCCUGCGCGGAAGAUGUAACGGGGCUAAACCAUGCACCGAAGCUGCGGCAGCGAACGUAUCACCCAAGACAACUUUACGGAGUUGACGAUUGACGGAGCGAAGCGACGUCAAAGCGUUCAUUAAAGUCGAGUUGGCUUAGGGAUACGUUCGUUGGGUAGGGGAGCGUUCUGUAAGCCUGUGAAGGUGUGUCGUGAGGCAUGCUGGAGGUAUCAGAAGUGCGAAUGCUGACAUAAGUAACGAUAAAGCGGGUGAAAAGCCCGCUCGCCGGAAGACCAAGGGUUCCUGUCCAACGUUAAUCGGGGCAGGGUGAGUCGACCCCUAAGGCGAGGCCGAAAGGCGUAGUCGAUGGGAAACGGGUUAAUAUUCCCGUACUUGGUGUUACUGCGAAGGGGGGACGGAGAAGGCUAUGUUGGCCGGGCGACGGUUGUCCCGGUUUAAGCGUGUAGGUGUGUGUUCCAGGUAAAUCCGGUUCACUUUAACACUGAGGCGUGACGACGAGGCACUACGGUGCUGAAGCAACAAAUGCCCUGCUUCCAGGAAAAGCCUCUAAGCAUCAGGUAACACGAAAUCGUACCCCAAACCGACACAGGUGGUCAGGUAGAGAAUACCAAGGCGCUUGAGAGAACUCGGGUGAAGGAACUAGGCAAAAUGGUGCCGUAACUUCGGGAGAAGGCACGCUGACACGUAGGUGAAGUGAUUUACUCAUGGAGCUGAAGUCAGUCGAAGAUACCAGCUGGCUGCAACUGUUUAUUAAAAACACAGCACUGUGCAAACACGAAAGUGGACGUAUACGGUGUGACGCCUGCCCGGUGCCGGAA